GACAGAGGGUGCAAACGUUGUUCGGAAUUACUGGGCGUAAAGGGCUCGUAGGCGGCCAACUAAGUCGGACGUGAAAUCCCCAGGCUCAACCUGGGAACUGCGUCCGAUACUGGAUGGCUUGAAUCCGGGAGAGGGAUGCAGAAUUCCAGGUGUAGCGGUGAAAUGCGUAGAUAUGUGGAGGAAUACCGAUGGCGAAGGCAGCCCCCUGGGAUAACACUGACGCUCAUGCACGAAAGCGUGGGGAGCAAACAGG
rnacentral:rRNA from 1 species